AGUAUUCUUCGGGGCAGGGUGUAAUUCCCGACCGACGGUGACAAGGCGUGCCUUGAAGUCCGUGACCCGCAUUUUUGCGGUUGAUCCAGUGUGAGUCUGGAACCGACAGUUAAAGUCUGGAUGGGAGAAGAAAAAC
rfam:Enterococcus avium ATCC 14025 genomic scaffold acpMO-supercont1.1, whole genome shotgun sequence.